UACGUAGGGUGCGAGCGUUGUCCGGAAUUAUUGGGCGUAAAGGGCUCGUAGGCGGUUUGUCGCGUCUGCUGUGAAAACCUAAGGCUCAACCUUGGGCUUGCAGUGGGUACGGGCAGACUAGAGUGCGGUAGGGGUGACUGGAAUUCCUGGUGUAGCGGUGAAAUGCGCAGAUAUCAGGAAGAACACCCGUGGCGAAGGCGGCUCUCUGGGACGGUACUGACGCUGAGAAGCGAAAGCAUGGGGAGCGAACAGG
rnacentral:rRNA from 1 species